rnacentral:rRNA from 1 species
AUUAAACGCUGGCGGCAUGCCUUACACAUGCAAGUCGAACGGCAGCACGGGGGCAACCUUGGUGGCGAGUGGCGAACGGGUGAGUAAAGCAUCGGAACGUGCCCUGGAGUGGGGGAUAACGUAGCGAAAGUUACGCUAAUACCGCAUAUUCUGUGAGCAGGAAAGCAGGGGAUCGCAAGACCUUGCGCUCUGGGAGCGGCCGAUGUCGGAUUAGCUAGUUGGUGGGGUAAAGGCCUACCAAGGCGACGAUCCGUAGCGGGUCUGAGAGGAUGAUCCGCCACACUGGGACUGAGACACGGCCCAGACUCCUACGGGAGGCAGCAGUGGGGAAUUUUGGACAAUGGGCGAAAGCCUGAUCCAGCCAUGCCGCGUGAGUGAAGAAGGCCUCGGUUGUAAGA